UGGUAAUUAGUUUAACUAAAACAAAUGAUUUCGACUCAUUAGAUUAUGAACCGUCCAUAAUUACCAA
rnacentral:tRNA from 1 species